UGUUUGUUUGCUUUUUGUUUUUGUUUUGUUUUGUUUUUUUUUUGAGACAGGGUUUCUCUGUGUAGCCCUGGUUCUCCUGGAACUCACUCUGUAGACCAGGCUGGCCUCGAACUCAGAGGUCCACUUACCUCUGCCUUCUGAGUGCUGGGAUUAAAGGUGUAUGCUACCUUCUUAAAAUAUUGGGAUGCUAGCAUGAGACCUUAAGGACAAAUAAGAAAGGAAAGGCUAUGCUUUAACACAGACGAGCUGACGGGGUGAAAUGUCAUAGUUCUUUUGUCAAACUAGACACCUAGGUAGAGGGAACCUCACAGCUGAGAGACUGCUUCCAGCAGAUUAGCCCAUGGGCAUAUUUGUGGAGGCAUUUUCUUGAUUGCAAAUUGAUUAUAGGAAGGCCUAAGUCACUGUGGGUGAUACAUCCCUAGCUAGAUGGGCUUGGGUUAUGUAAUAAAGCUAGCUGAAAAAGUCAAGGGAUGAAAGUCAGUAAGCAGUGCUCCUCAUAAGCAGUGCUCCUCAUCAUAAGCAGUGCUCCUCCAUGGUCUCUGCUUCAGUUCUGAUCUCCAGGUUCCAGCCUUGAGUUUCUGCCUUGACUUCCCUCAGUUAUGGACUGUAGCCUGCAAACCAAAUAACUGCCCCUUCCCCAAGCUGCUUUAAGUCAGAACGUUUUAUCACAGCAACAAAGAAGCAAACGAAUACAGGGACAAUUAGGCUGGGUGGCAGGAUGUGAGUCAGGGCACCCGAGGCUGCCCCAGGGAGGGUGGGGCUCCCUGGGAAAGGUGGAGUGGGGUCCUUGUGCAAUCAGCCCUGCAGGCUCCCUCUUUAAUUCUUUUUGAAAUUACAUUUAUUUUAUAUUAUGCCAUAUGUUUGCAUUGUAUGUAGGUGCAGGCACUUAGAUCUAAGGGCAGCUUGUGGAAGUCGGUUCUUUCUUUUUACCAUGUGGGAGGGAACUAGGCAUCCAACUCAGUUGGUCUCCUUUGGGGCAAAAGCAACUUUACCCAUGUAAAGUGGCUUCCUGUUUCUGAAGUGUACUCUCAGGAUGCCCAUUGCCGGCCCAGCAUCAAGAGCCUAGGGCUCCUGUGUCCAGGGAAUAUAAAGAUCUCCAGUGUAUUUGCUGAGCUUAACGAGUGUAACGAGUGGUCCUAAAGAAGGAAGUGGGCUGUGAUUUGUGUCUGUUGGCUAAGAGGAGCAGAAGAGGCAAGGCUGCCACGUGGGAGGGAGGGCUCCAUCAGCCUGGGUGGGCAGCCCUCCUCAAAUCCUGGGACACAGACCUCUAGUGUCCUCCAUAUCCUGCUGGACAGACACCUGGCUAGGAGGCUUACUCCAGCUGCAGCCACAUGUCACCCAAAGGCCCUGCACGGCUCUCACUGGUCCCGGGGCCAGGAGACCCUGCCACCGUCUGAUGCUUCCCACCCGCAGCCCCGCUCCGUCACGUUCCAGCCGCCUGACUCAGGCCGCACGGGGCGGGCUGGGAGCCGGGAGGCGGUGCCGGCGCCCGCUCGGCCCCAGAGGCGGCACCAGGAAGCACCCGCCCCGGCCGGAGCCGCCAUGUAACCGGCGCCGCCCGUAGCCCCAGCCGCGCGGGCCCCAGCGACCCGCCCGCCAUGGGAGACGAGGAUGAGGACGAGGGCUGCGCCGUGGAGCUGCAGAUCACCGAAGCCAACCUCACCGGGCAUGAGGAGAAGGUGAGCGUGGAGAACUUCGCGCUGCUCAAGGUGCUGGGCACGGGAGCCUAUGGGAAGGUGUUCCUGGUGCGGAAGACGGGUGGGCACGACGCGGGCAAGCUCUAUGCCAUGAAGGUGCUACGCAAGGCGGCGUUGGUGCAGCGCGCGAAGACACAGGAGCAUACCCGCACCGAACGCUCGGUGCUGGAGCUGGUUCGCCAAGCACCCUUCCUGGUCACACUGCACUACGCCUUCCAGACGGAUGCCAAGCUGCACCUCAUCCUGGACUACGUGAGCGGUGGUGAGAUGUUCACUCACCUCUACCAGCGCCAGUACUUCAAGGAGGCUGAGGUUCGAGUGUAUGGGGGCGAGAUUGUGCUGGCCCUGGAACACCUGCACAAGCUGGGUAUCAUCUACCGGGACCUGAAGCUGGAGAACGUCUUACUUGACUCAGAAGGUCACAUCGUCCUUACAGACUUUGGGCUGAGCAAGGAGUUCCUGACGGAGGAGAAAGAGCGGACCUUCUCCUUCUGUGGCACAAUCGAGUACAUGGCUCCCGAAAUCAUCCGAAGCAAGGCUGGACAUGGCAAGGCUGUGGACUGGUGGAGCCUGGGUAUCCUGCUCUUCGAGCUGCUGACAGGGGCCUCACCCUUCACACUGGAGGGAGAGAGGAACACUCAGGCUGAGGUGUCCCGACGGAUCUUGAAGUGCUCCCCUCCCUUCCCUCUCCGGAUUGGGCCUGUGGCACAGGACCUGCUACAGCGGCUGCUGUGCAAGGACCCUAAGAAGAGGUUGGGCGCAGGUCCCCAGGGUGCGCAGGAAGUCAAGAGUCACCCCUUCUUCCAGGGUCUGGACUGGGUGGCUCUGGCUGCCAGAAAGAUCCCAGCCCCAUUCCGGCCCCAGAUCCGCUCAGAGCUGGAUGUGGGGAAUUUUGCGGAGGAAUUCACCCGGCUGGAGCCCGUCUACUCCCCUGCAGGCAGCCCUCCACCUGGGGACCCUCGGAUCUUUCAGGGAUACUCCUUCGUGGCUCCGUCCAUCCUCUUUGACCACAACAAUGCAGUGAUGGCUGAUGUACUGCAGGCACCGGGUGCCGGAUACAGGCCCGGCAGGGCAGCAGUUGCCAGGAGUGCCAUGAUGCAGGACUCGCCUUUCUUCCAGCAGUACGAACUGGACCUUCGGGAGCCAGCGCUGGGGCAGGGCAGCUUCUCUGUGUGUCGGAGAUGUAGGCAGCGCCAGAGCGGCCAGGAGUUUGCUGUCAAGAUCCUCAGCCGCAGGCUGGAGGAGAACACUCAGCGAGAGGUGGCUGCUCUUCGCCUGUGCCAGUCACACCCCAACGUGGUGAAUCUGCAUGAGGUGCUUCAUGACCAGCUACACACUUACCUGGUCCUGGAGUUGCUGCGAGGCGGAGAGCUAUUGGAACACAUCCGCAAGAAGCGGCUCUUCAGCGAGUCGGAGGCCAGCCAGAUCCUUCGGAGCCUGGUUUCGGCCGUGAGCUUCAUGCACGAGGAGGCAGGCGUGGUGCACCGCGACCUGAAACCCGAGAACAUCUUGUACGCGGACGACACUCCCGGGGCCCCGGUGAAGAUCAUCGACUUCGGGUUCGCGCGACUGCGGCCCCAGAGCCCGGCAGAGCCCAUGCAGACUCCUUGCUUCACACUGCAGUACGCUGCACCCGAGCUGCUGGCACAGCAGGGCUACGAUGAGUCCUGCGAUCUAUGGAGCCUGGGUGUCAUUCUGUACAUGAUGCUGUCUGGCCAGGUUCCCUUCCAAGGGGCCUCCGGCCAGGGUGGACAGAGUCAGGCAGCUGAGAUCAUGUGCAAGAUCCGUGAAGGGCGCUUCUCCCUGGACGGGGAAGCCUGGCAAGGUGUGUCGGAGGAAGCCAAGGAGCUGGUCCGAGCAUGCCCCUGCCUUACCACCAGGGCUACUGACAGUCGACCCCGCCAAGCGGCUGAAGCUGGAGGGGCUGCGUAGCAGCUCGUGGCUUCAGGACGGCAGCGCGCGCUCCUCGCCCCCGCUCCGCACGCCGGAUGUGCUGGAGUCCUCUGGGCCAGCUGUGCGUUCCGGGCUCAAUGCCACUUUCAUGGCGUUCAACCGAGGCAAGCGCGAGGGCUUCUUUCUCAAGAGUGUAGAGAAUGCGCCUCUGGCCAAGAGGCGCAAGCAGAAGCUCCGGAGCGCGGCCGCCUCCCGCCGAGGCUCCCCAGUGCCUGCCUCCUCCGGUCGCCUACCAGCCUCUGCCGCUAAGGGGACAACUCGCCGAGCCAACGGCCCCUUGUCCCCUUCCUAGCUCCCGCCACUGUGACCCCCUUACCUUUAGGAGCUCCGAUCCGGGAGCCUGGUGCUGCCACCAGACUUUUGCCAGCGGCUCCCACUCUGAUCCCUAGGAAUUGCCCUCCCCUCCACACCCACUUCCAGACAGAGCAGAAGUAUUUUUAUAAGCAGAGAUUUUUUAAAAGUGUCUUACUAGAUAAGAGUUGGGGACACAGAGAAGCAACUGUUGUGAGCAAAGUGGAGCUUGGGGCUCCCUCGCCCGAUCCCAAUGCUGCCCCAUCAGGAAGAGAGAAGGUCCUUUCCAGGAGCAACUCUGCUAAGAAAGGGCAUCCUAUCCUGUUCCUAAGUACCCAGUUGCCAUGGAGAAGAAAUCAGGAGCCCGUAUACUGUGCUUCCCUGGGACUUUGCCCCUAGGAGGGGACACCCAUCAAUGUCACUUUAUGGACCGUGUGCAAUGAUGUCCACCAAAGACCUGUGUUGGGAAUGAGAGAGAGAGAGACCCUGAGGGACCUCUAGAGCAUUUCUGAGAUACAUCACUUUUGUCAACGGCUCCCCUAGUGGGGUUAAGGAAGAAGGCAGGUGCUCCCCAGGGGGAGCCCCUUUCUCACUCACCCAUUCCUCAUGGGCACAGCUGCUUCUGGCUGCAGGUGGAGCCUUAGGGUUCUGGGCUAGGCAUCCACAGUCACUGCCUCAGCCCCUCUAGGCUGUGCCUUUGACUUUAAAAUAAAACUCCACCCAGUGCUGCAUGUG